UUACGACCAUAUCACGUUGAAACACCGAUUCCUGUGGGAUCACCGAAGUUAAGCAACGUCGAGCCUAGUCAGUACGUAGAUGGGUGACCACUUGGGAAUACCAGAUACUGUAA